rnacentral:rRNA from 1 species
UGGGGAAUAUUGCACAAUGGACGAAAGUCUGAUGCAGCAACGCCGCGUGGAGGAUGACACAUUUCGGUGCGUAAACUCCUUUUAUAUAGGAAGAUAAUGACGGUACUAUAUGAAUAAGCACCGGCUAACUCCGUGCCAGCAGCCGCGGUAAUACGGAGGGUGCAAGCGUUACUCGGAAUCACUGGGCGUAAAGAGCGUGUAGGCGGGUAUAUAAGUCAGAAGUGAAAUCCUAUAGCUUAACUAUAGAACUGCUUUUGAAACUGUAUACCUAGAAUGUGGGAGAGGUAGAUGGAAUUUCUGGUGUAGGGGUAAAAUCCGUAGAGAUCAGAAGGAAUACCGAUUGCGAAGGCGAUCUACUGGAACAUUAUUGACGCUGAGACGCGAAAGCGUGGGGAGCAAACAGG